UGGUGAAGAUCAUUAAGAAGGAUGACACGGACAAGCCCGGAUCGACAUGGAGGGUGUCUUACAUACCGAAGACUGGAACCGAAGAAAGUUUCCGUGGCCAGAGGAGUCGUCCAUGGAGCGCGAGGGACAGGCCACCCCCCCUGGAGGAAGCAGGAGCGACCAGGAAGAGGCCCCAGCUGAAGUUCCUCCAUCGGACAGACAGCAACGGCUCCUGCGCCCUGCGAGCAGAGAGAGGCCAGGGGCAGCGUCAGCCAUCGGUGGAGCAGCAACUCCAGACAAGAAUACAUGGACUUAUGGGUUAUGGCCAGGGACGGAGGAAGGACAGAGACAUUGUUCCUGACGGACUUGUGGGUUAUGGCCGGGGUAGGAAGGAUAAUAGAGAUACUGUUUAAGUAUUAUUAUAGAUGUCAGAUAGGAUAGGAAAAGAUAGGCUAAGUUAACAUAUGAUAAGUUAAAAUACAAUAAGAUAGACAAUAAGUUAAAAUAUCAUAUGAUAGGCUAAGUUAAAAUAAGAUAAGAGCUUUACAAUAAAACAUAUACUUACUUUUCAAA